rnacentral:rRNA from 1 species
GACGUAGGGCGCGAGCGUUGUCCGGAUUUAUUGGGCGUAAAGAGCUCGUAGGCGGCUUGUCGCGUCGAAUGUGAAAACCUGCAGCUCAACUGCAGGCUUGCAUUCGAUACGGGCAGGCUCGAGUUCGGUAGGGGAGACUGGAAUUCCUGGUGUAGCGGUGGGAUGCGUAGAGAUCCGGAAGAACACCUGCGGCGAAGGCGGGUUGCUGGGCUGACACUGACGCUGAUGCGCGAAAGCUAGGGGAGCGAACGGG